rnacentral:rRNA from 1 species
CGGCACGGGUGAGUAACACGUAUGCAAUCCACCUGUAACAGGGGGAGUAACCCGGAGAAAUCCGGACUAAUACCCAUAAUAUGGGCGCUCCGCAUGGAGAGCCCAUUAAAGAGAGCAAUUUUGGUUACAGACGAGCAUGCGCUCCAUUAGCCAGUUGGCGGGGUAACGGCCCACCAAAGCGACGAUGGAUAGGGGUUCUGAGAGGAAGGUCCCCCACAUUGGAACUGAGACACGGUCCAA